CGACGUCAAGUCAUCAUGGCCCUUACGAGUAGGGCUACACACGUGCUACAAUGGCGCAUACAGAGGGCAGCCAACUUGCGAAAGUGAGCGAAUCCCAAAAAGUGCGUCGUAGUCCGGAUUGGAGUCUGCAACUCGACUCCAUGAAGUCGGAAUCGCUAGUAAUCGUGGAUCAGAAUGCCACGGUGAAUACGUUCCCGGGCCUUGUACACACCGCCCGUCACACCAUGGGAG
rnacentral:rRNA from 1 species